GUGGGGAAUAUUGCACAAUGGGGGAAACCCUGAUGCGGCGACGCCGCGUGAGUGAAGAAGUAUUUCGGUACGUAAAGCUCUAUCAGCAAGGAAGAAAAUGACGGUACUUGACUAAGAAGCCCCGGCUAACUACGUGCCAGCAGCCGCGGUAAUACGUAGGGGGCAAGCGUUAUCCGGAUUUACUGGGUGUAAAGGGAGCGUAGACGGUAUGGUAAGUCAGAUGUGAAAGCCCGGGGCUCAACCCCGGGACUGCAUUUGAAACUAUCAGACUAGAGUGCAGGAGAGGUAAGUGGAAUUCCUAGUGUGGCGGUGAAAUGCGUAGAUAUUAGGAGGAACACCAGUGGCGAAGGCGGCUUACUGGACUGUAACUGACGUUGAGGCUCGAAAGCGUGGGGAGCAAACAGGAUUAGAAACCCCAGUAGUCC
rnacentral:rRNA from 1 species